UACAGAGACUGCAAGCGUUAUUCGGAAUCACUGGGCGUAAAGCGCACGUAGGCGGAUUGUUAAGUCAGGGGUGAAAUCCUGGAGCUCAACUCCAGAACUGCCUUUGAUACUGGCGAUCUUGAGUCCGGGAGAGGUGAGUGGAACUGCGAGUGUAGAGGUGAAAUUCGUAGAUAUUCGCAAGAACACCAGUGGCGAAGGCGGCUCACUGGCCCGGUACUGACGCUGAGGUGCGAAAGCGUGGGGAGCAAACAGG
rnacentral:rRNA from 1 species